GUGUGUAUAUGUGUAUAGAAUCUCACCUUCUUCAUGAAAUAGGGCAUACCAAGACAACGGGCCUCCAACAACUGUGGGGUGUUUGUGCUCAUGUAUGCCCUCUACUUUGUGAUGGAGUCAGCUUUUGAUUUCAGUGAGUUGGACAUGGAGCAUUUAAGGAGAUGGUGGUGCAUGCUACUCAUUGACAACUUCCCCGUGACAUUCGAAGGCAGAAGAUCAACCAAAAGACGACUGGAGAGAUAAGACUGCCAAGACAGUCCCAGGGUAAGUAAUCAUGAUGACCCACCCAAAAGAAGUAAAGUCGUAAAGGAAAUGGCAUUCUGCAGCGAC